CCUACGGGAGGCAGCAGUCGAGAAUCAUUCACAAUGGGGGAAACCCUGAUGGUGCGACGCCGCGUGGGGGAAUGAAGGUCUUCGGAUUGUAAACCCCUGUCAUGUGGGAGCAAAUUAAAAAGAUAGUACCACAAGAGGAAGAGACGGCUAACUCUGUGCCCGCAGCCGCGGUAAUACAGAGGUCUCAAGCGAUGUUCGGAAUCACUGGGCGGAAAGCGUGCGUAGGCUGUUUCGUAAGUCGUGCGUGAAAGGCGCGGGCUCAACCCGCGGACGGCACAUGAUACUGCGAGACUAGAGUAAUGGAGGGGGAACCGGAAUUCUCGGUGUAGCAGUGAAAUGCGUAGAUAUCGAGAGGAACACUCGUGGCGAAGGCGGGUUCCUGGACAUUAACUGACGCUGAGGCACGAAGGCCAGGGGAGCGAAAGGGAUUAGAUACCCUUGUAGUC
rnacentral:rRNA from 1 species